rnacentral:ncRNA from 1 species
CCUGGGCUGCCAUUUCACGAUCAGACAGGCCACCGCAAAUCUGGAUAAUACGGUCAGACAGCGUCGACUUACCGUGGUCAAUGUGAGCUAUGAUCGAAAAGUUACGUAUGUUCUUCAUAUAGUUAAAUAAUUUUGCCUUACGAAUUCCUGGAGGCCGCUGUUCUUAGCCUGACGUUUUUCAGUGCGAAAACGCAGCAUUCUACACUACAUCUUCGUCACCAGGAAAUGCUCUUGAAUUCAGGUAUAGCGCUAAGUUUGAGGGUUUUGGUUUAUAAGAAUCAAACAUAGAUAAAGCCCGGUGUAUUUACCGGGCCUCUGAGGAUAGUGUUUCAACGCGCAAUUCGUCGGGUGGUAAGCCAACGCUGAGAAUGGUUGGCUGCCAGUUAUCGCGCACAGCAAGCCUGGGCGAAAGCCCCCGCGCCAGUAAAAAACCGCCUACUCCGCCGAGGGCUGCCCCGCACAUGGCGGCAAGAUCGGUGGCAAACAGGAGCUGGAAAAGACCACCCACGGCAAACAAGCCCACCAGCGGAGAGAGAUAAACCAGCAUCGCCGAGCCCAGCAGGCUCGCUUCGGCAAUCCCCAACUCCACUUUUUGCCCUUUCACCAGCGGUUGCUCACUAGGAACGGAAAGCGUGUGGGUAGUUUGCGGGCCCAGUUUAUUCAGCACGCGGCUGCCGCAUCCUGCGCGGGAGGCGCAGCUGCUGCAGGAGGCCUUAACGUCGCAACUCACCAGCGCGACGCCAUUUUGCCAUGAUACGACCGUAGCCCACUCUUUAAUCAUUGUGCUGCCCUAAAUUUGAUACUGUCGGCGAUACG